UAACCCACUUGAGGAAUACUCAGAUGAGGAUUUUAUCGGUAGAUUUAGACUUAGUAAAGAUACUUUUGUGCAUCUAAUGGAAACCAUCCGUUUGGAUAUAACCCACCCCACAAGGAGAAGCAGCGCGUUGACACCAGCAUUGCAGUUGGCCAUCACGGUUCGGUUCUAUUCAUGGGGUUCAUUCCAGAAAGCAGUCGGCGAUACACUUAGCAUUUCUCAAUCAGCUUGCUGUCAGGCAAUUCAUCGUGUAACUGACGCCAUUUGUAGUGUGAAACAUAAUUUUGUGCAUUUUGCCUACAACCUUCAAUCAAGGACAGCUGUUAUGCAGGGUUUUUUUGACAUAGCGCAAAUGCCGGGAAUUAUUGGAGCUAUCGAUGGCACUCAUGUUCCGAUUAUCAAGCCUGGUGGAGAUGAUGCUGCACGAUUUAUUAACAGGAAAGGUUGGUAUAGCCUAAACUGUCUGUGAUUCCAACCUGCUUUUCACUAACGUUGUCAGUCGAUGGUACGGGUCAGCCCACGAUUCCCGAAUUUUUGAAAAUUCCAUGCUACGUCAACAAUAUAGAGAUAGGACCAUUAGGGGGAUCCUGGUGGGCGAUCCAGCAUACACAUGCACGUCAUUUCUUCUUACGCCUAUCAGGAAUGUCCAUACUGAAGCGGAAAGACGUUAUAACGUUGCCCAACGUAGGACAAGGUCGGUGAUCAAAAGGGCAUUUGGAAUAUGUAAACGACGCUUUCCGUGUGUUGCAUUUGGCAAUCGACUUCCGAUGUUCGCUACAGCACAACAUGGCUAUUGUGGUAGCUACAGUCUGCCUCCAUAACCUUGCCAGGGAGUGUAAUGAUCUGCUGCCUGGAGACGAUGGUUCAGCUGAUGAAGAUGGACAACCUCAACAUGUAGCCAAUGAAGAGGUUGACGCGAGAGGAGAUGUAUUCAGGCAACGAUACAUAAGACAAAAUUUCAUGUAGGACAUGGCUUCCUCCGCCUUCUUCAUAACACCAGUUCGUCCCUCUGUACCAGCCCUGUUAGAGUUGUCCGAAGAUCGUUUGGUGCCACAUCUGAAAUAACAAACACAGAGAAAGUCUGUUAACAAGUAUGUUAAUGGGCAAUACACUCUAAAAUUAAGAGAUGGAUCGUUGUUAUGUUAGCUUCCCAUAUGCACAUUAAAGCAUACCUGAACCCUCUGCUUGCAGUGUCUGAUUGGGAACUGCCUAGGUAUUUGGCCAUCAAAGGAAUCGCUUGACUGGUUUAUCGGCAAUGGAUCUUGAUGAGAACUCUGGGAUUCACUGAAAGAAGAUUUGUAGUAAUAAUAUAUUAUAAUUUCUAUAUAAUUAAGAGUUGGUGAUGUAUUUCCAUUUUAACAACCAGUGCUAUUUUACUAGUUUAGUAUUGACAAUGUUUAAUACAUGUGUAUAAUGUUGUGAAAUAAUUACACCUCCAUACAUGUUAUAUAUGUUAUUAAUGAUGAUGAUUUUGGAAUAUCUAAAAUUAAUACCUGUUAAUAAUAAAUGAAUAUAUUGCAAUUGGUUGGUUGUUAUUGAAUUUUGACCAAUUACAUUUAGUAGUUAUCUCAAGUUUGAACAGGAUUGCGACUGAUCGCUUGGGAUAGUCGGCUCUAUAUCCUCGGUUUCCAGUUGAGUGGUCUGCUUCCCGGUUGGGGUUGGUGUCUCAUUUGCAGCUGACGAUGGUUGAAGCUCGCUAUCAUCAUCCCAAGUGUUGAAGAACACCUUAAGAUCUUUUUAAAUAAUAUUUAAUAUUAUUAAUGUUUCUUCGUCAACGUCGCCACAAACUUGUUCUCCACCCCCUGUUUUCACUAGAUCUACUUUCUUAUCCCUGGCAAUCGUUUUUGCUUUAAUUUUCAUUCGCCUCCACAACUCCUUAUAGUCCUUUAUACCGCACGACUUUCGAUUAGGGAAUGCCGCUGUCAUUUCUGCACUAACCUCAACCCAUGCUGUGUUUGUUUUCCUCAUUAUUGCUGCGUUGUUACAUUUGUCUUCAAUUAUAUCAGAACGUUCUUUGAUGGCUAGUAUUAUAGUCAUUCUUUCAUCCUCGGAAAAAAUAUCAUUUCGUUUUUUGUCAAUGGCAAUUUUCAAUGUGUAGAACUACGAGGCAUAUAAAAUAGACAACACAAUUUGAACGUGCAACAACACAAUUUUUAAGAGCGGAUCCAACAGCGUGUCCAGGGGUCCGGAUCCCCAACCCUUUAUCCCAUAAUUUUGUUUUCAGAAUAGGAAUAUACUUCGGUGUAUCGUAAUGGCAUGUUUUUGCACCCCGCCCAUCAUUGGAAAGGCUUAUACACGUUCAACGCCUGACAUUCCAUUUACUUUACAUUUUGAAACUUACUGUGGACACCUUCUUUAAUAAUGUAUGGGUUUGUCAGUGAUUAUCUUAGUGUUGGAGUUUC